rnacentral:rRNA from 1 species
ACGGAAGGCAGCAGUGAGGAAUAUUGGUCAAUGGGCGCGAGCCUGAACCAGCCAAGUAGCGUGAGGGAUGACUGCCCUACGGGUUGUAAACCUCUUUUGUUUGGGAAUAAAGGAGCCUACGUGUAGGCUUUUGCAUGUACCUUUCGAAUAAGCAUCGGCUAAUUCCGUGCCAGCAGCCGCGGUAAUACGGAAGAUGCGAGCGUUAUCCGGAUUUAUUGGGUUUAAAGGGAGCGUAGGCCGUGCUUUAAGCGUGUUGUGAAAUGUAGGCGCCCAACGUCUGCACUGCAGCGCGAACUGGAGCACUUGAGUACGCAGGAAGUAGGCGGAAUUCGUCGUGUAGCGGUGAAAUGCUUAGAUAUGACGAAGAACUCCGAUUGGGAAGCCAGCUUACUGUAGCGCCACUGACGCUGAUGCUCGAAAGCGUGGGUAUCGAACAGGAUUAGAUACCCUGGUA